rnacentral:rRNA from 1 species
AUUGAACGCUGGCGGCAGGCCUAACACAUGCAAGUCGAGCGGAUGAAGGGAGCUUGCUCCUGGAUUCAGCAGCGGACGGGUGAGUAAUGCCUAGGAAUCUGCCUGGUAGUGGGGGAUAACGUCCGGAAACGGGCGCUAAUACCGCAUACGUCCUGAGGGAGAAAGUGGGGGAUCUUCGGACCUCACGCUAUCAGAUGAGCCUAGGUCGGAUUAGCUAGUUGGUGGGGUAAAGGCCUACCAAGGCGACGAUCCGUAACUGGUCUGAGAGGAUGAUCAGUCACACUGGAACUGAGACACGGUCCAGACUCCUACGGGAGGCAGCAGUGGGGAAUAUUGGACCAUGGGCGAAAGCCUGAUCCAGCCAUGCCGCGUGUGUGAAGAAGGUCUUCGGAUUGUAAAGCACUUUAAGUUGGGAGGAAGGGCAGUAAGUUAAUACCUUGCUGUUCUGACGUUACCAACAGAAUAAGCACCGGCUAACUUCGUG